rnacentral:rRNA from 1 species
AUUGAACGCUGGCGGCAGGCUUAACACAUGCAAGUCGAGCGAGCGGCGGACGGGUGAGUAAUGUCUGGGAAACUGCCUGAUGGAGGGGGAUAACUACUGGAAACGGUAGCUAAUACCGCAUACCAUCAGAUGUGCCCAGAUGGGAUUAGCUAGUAGGUGGGGUAAUGGCUCACCUAGGCGACGAUCCCUAGCUGGUCUGAGAGGAUGACCCACCACACUGGAACUGUGACACGGUCCAGACUCCUACGGGAGGCAGCAGGGGGGAAUAGUGCACUAUGGGCGAAAGCCAGAUGCAGCCAGGCCGCGUGUGUGAAGAAGGCCUUCGGGUUGUAAAGCACUUUCAGCGGAGAGGCGUUACCCGCAGAGGAGGCACCGGCUAACUCCGUGCCAGCAGCCGCGGUAAUUC